rnacentral:rRNA from 1 species
GACAGAGGGUGCAAACGUUGUUCGGAAUUACUGGGCGUAAAGCGCGUGUAGGCAGCUCGGAAAGUCGGGUGUGAAAGCCCUGGGCUCAACCUAGGAAGUGCACUCGAAACUUCCGAGCUGGAGUGCUGGAGAGGAAGGCGGAAUUCUCGGUGUAGAGGUGAAAUUCGUAGAUAUCGAGAGGAACACCGGUGGCGAAGGCGGCCUUCUGGACAGUGACUGACGCUGAGACGCGAAAGCGUGGGGAGCAAACAGG